AAAAGAAAAUGGAGGGGGGAAGAAUCAGCCCGAGGCCAAGCCUUGGCAGAGGACAUUUCAGCCUGGAUGAGUAACAUCUAACAAACUUACCAGCAACCAAAAGCAGGAGCUUAUAACGAGAACCGUCAGGUGGUGGUAAUUACAAGCAGUGCUACCAGCUCUAUCUGCAAUGUGCAUCACCCAGAAAAGGAGGGAACUGCAUAAAUGAUCCAAUGUUUUCUGGAGUGAUUUUGCAGACUCUGGGACACAUGCACUGUAACAAAAAAGCCUGAUUUGGUGAGAAGGUGUAUGAAAGCUUCCCGAGACACUUGUCAAUAAGAAGAACAUGGAGAGGGGGAAACAGGGAAGCACUGCUCGGGGCUCCAGCCCCGUGGUGGGACCAUCGCUUGCCCAGGACGCCCAUGCAUGCAGUCUCAAAAAUGAACUUUUUUCCCUUAUUUGUCCACUCGGUGGUGCUAAAACAACACCGCCCUUUUUUUGGCAUUUUCUCACUGCCGGGUGUCAGGCAGAGUGUCUGUGCUCUUUGGGGAUGUUCAAGUCACGGCUUUAAAAAAACUACCUCUACAAAUCCAAUAGCCAGGAAACCUAAUUAGCUCGCUGGGUCGCUGCUUCCUACCCUGGUGCUUCGUUUCCAAUGGAACAGAGAUAAGCAGGACAAAAGACUCAUCACACCUAAUUACACAGGAAGAGAUUAGCAAACCCACGAUCCUUUUCUCUAUGUUGAUUAUAAUUUAAUUAAUUUGGGAUUCUGUUUUUGUUUUCAAAAAGAGUUGACAGAGGAGAAUUGAUGCUGCUUGGCAAAGUUUGUGGGAAAAAUCAUUUUUUCUGAUAUGAGAAAGAUGGGUGAAAACCCCAAAGUUUAAUCUGCAACACACAACUCUCUUCAGGUUCAAUUACUUUUAAACUAGUGUGUGAGAUGAGCCUGAGCUUCAGCAUCCAGCACAGAGCCCAUCCUAUGUGGAGUGGCACACAGCAAGAAGGAUCAGGAUUUGAACAGCCAGACGUUUCCUAACUCUAACUCUCAGAGUCAACACUCACAAAAUGGCAAUUGGCUCAGUACGUCUGAAGGGGAGGAUUCUCUGAAGUUAAAAUCGGUUUUUGGAAGUUACUGAAUUCCCAUGUGCUUACGUGCCAUUUGAAACUGCGACGUGGAUACCUUGGGAAACUUCACCUUGUAUCUGUAACCUCUGGAUGGAUGAUUUAAUUUCUGAGGAGUUGAUGAGCCACAUCUUCCAAAGAAAAUUUGAUGUUUAGGAGUGUGUUACAGAGGCACCAUUAAAGCCAGAUGUUUUAAAGCUGUGGAAGACAGUAAACUGGAGAAGGCAUCAGAGAAGGAUGACAGCAUGGGGAGACUGACAGUCAUCAGGCCUGUCCGAGAAGGCUUCUGGACACGUGGUUACAUCAGGUACUUCAAAGGCUGUCUGUGCUACCUGAUGUUGGCAUUGAUAAUGCACUCAUGCUGUAGGAUCACUGCAUUCCACCUCCAGAAAUUUGCUGUAUCACCUUUGCUGUUUCAGUCAACACUGCCAUUAGGUUUAUUUUCGUAAACACUGGUAAUGUGGCAGCCAGGCUUUUAUUAGCACUUUGAUCUCUAUGAUUAUAUGGGACUCCUUAAGAAAGCAGUUUCUUUUGGUUGAGAACAGCUUUAUCUGUCCUUUAUCUUCUUCCCCCCUCUCCAGAGCUAAGAGUCUGCAAAGUAGAGUGCCUGUUUCAGUUAUAU